CCUACGGGAGGCAGCAGUGGGGAAUUUUGGACAAUGGGCGCAAGCCUGAUCCAGCAAUGCCGCGUGAGUGAAGAAGGCCUUCGGGUUGUAAAGCUCUUUUGUCAGGGAAGAAACGGUGGGGGCUAAUAUCUCCUACUAAUGACGGUACCUGAAGAAUAAGCACCGGCUAACUACGUGCCAGCAGCCGCGGUAAUACGUAGGGUGCAAGCGUUAAUCGGAAUUACUGGGCGUAAAGCGUGCGCAGGCGGUUUUGUAAGUCUGUCGUGAAAGCCCCGGGCUCAACCUGGGAAUUGCGAUGGAGACUGCAAGGCUUGAAUCUGGCAGAGGGGGGUAGAAUUCCACGUGUAGCAGUGAAAUGCGUAGAGAUGUGGAGGAACACCGAUGGCGAAGGCAGCCCCCUGGGUCAAGAUUGACGCUCAUGCACGAAAGCGUGGGGAGCAAACAGGAUUAGAUACCCUGGUAGUCCACGCCCUAAACGAUGUCUACUAGUUGUCGGGUUUUAAUUAACUUGGUAACGCAGCUAACGCGUGAAGUAGACCGCCUGGGGAGUACGGUCGCAAGNUUAAAACUUCAAAGGAAUUGACGGNUUGNGNGNGCGAGNGACGACGAGGAGAGG
rnacentral:rRNA from 1 species